AGAACGCACAGGACCAAACAAUUCUUAUGGGAAGACUAGGUCUUUUGAUCUCUCUCACUUAAAAAAAGAUAAGAUCUUCCCUUUUGUCUCAGCUCACAAUAUGUAAUUUUUUAAAGGACCACAAAGGCGAAAAAUAUUGAGGAUCUCAAAUAUUCACACCCAAGAAUCUACUUCAUCAGACGGUUAAGAGAGUCAGAGGGACAUUCAGAGGACUUUGAAGAGUCCACAGCCUGCCUUCUCUUCCCUGAACGGACAAGCUCAGUCAGCUGUGACCGGGAAUGCUGCUGCUCUAGCGUGCAGCUGCAUUUCUCCUGCAGGCUCAGAGAGAGAACUCGGUCACUUGGCCCAGCCUGGACCAGAGUUGGCUGGUCACCUAGGACAGAACAGCCUUCUGGAUAUGGUUGAUGUUUUCCUCACUAGCUUAGCCCAGGAAGAAGAACAUUCAGAUUUACUGUCCAUCUGAAACCAAGAAAACCGUUGUAUGACCUUAAGUUCCUUGAAAUAUUUGCAUUGAAAGAGUUGCAUGGGUCAAAUAAUCACAAAUAAAGGACCCAAUUUCCUUCUGUGCCGGAGAAGACACAGUGGACUCUUUGGGAUUGUUUGUCCUUCUCUUGCUUUCCUGCCAGCUUCCACAAAACGAUGCCAGUGGGGUCCAGGAACCUGGAUCCAGGCUGCAGAGUGUGGCUGAAGGAGGCUGUCAUCCAGUCUCUGUGGGUGCAGGGAGGGCCCACUGCCUUGUAGCUGUGGAGCUGACACUUUCUGUGAGAGAGGUGAUCCUGGGGUAGGACGUGGUACUUAGUAGGGGCACAAUCAAUGAAUGAACCUGGAGUAAACCUAGAACCAUUCUGUCGCUCAGCAUUCAACAACCACUUGCUAAGGGCCCGCCAUGUGAUGAUUCAAGGGCAGUAAAAGGCAGAGAUGUGCUCCUACACUCAGAGCUCCCAGUCUGGCUGUUCUGGGAGCAGGCUGGUGAGGUGCCUGUGGCCUGACCUCACAGCCCUCCCCAGUCAGUUCUGCAGAGGCGCAGGAAGAUGUGGAGUUUGAACUGAGCCUUGAAGAUUUCAAGAAGCACUGACAGAAGAGGAAGGCAUUCCAAGCCGGGUCUUGUGUGGGGAAGGACGUGGAGGCAGUAGAGAGACAGCGAGUGCUGCUUGGCCUGCAGGGUCCAAGUAGGGAAGUGGCUGGAAAGCUAAGUGAGGACCGGACGGGAAAGUCCUAUAGAGCAGCCUGAGCAGUGCCCAAGCAGCUGAAGGAUUUUGAGCAGGAAGAUGGCAUGAUCAGAGCUGGCACUGGAUGGUUAUUCUGGGGUAAAUGUAGCUAGGGAACUGUAACUCCUUAUUCUUAGGGGCAUGUUAGGGAUGGAAUUUUGGUUCUGAAAUGCACCCCUAUGUCUUAUGUCAUUUCUACCUCGUGGAUGAAGUUUUGAUUUGUAAGUUAUUUUAUACUGUCUUUGGAAAGGAUUGUCUUUGCCAGGGGAUUUAUUUUUAUAUUUCCUGAGCCCUUCCUUCAGAUAGCUUAUAUUUUAGUUGAGAGACAAGACUAGAACACGUGAAAGAACAAUACAAAGCAAAAUGCAAGAUUCAGUUCAGACUAGAAGUUCUUGAG
rnacentral:lncRNA from 1 species